rnacentral:rRNA from 1 species
GCACUCUGCAACUCGAGUGCAUGAAGGUGGAAUCGCUAGUAAUCGCGGAUCAGCAUGCCGCGGUGAAUACGUUCCCGGGCCUUGUACACACCGCCCGUCACACCAUGGGAUUUGGUUCGACCUUAAGCCGGUGCGCGAACUCGCAAGAGACGCAGCCGACCACGGUCGGGUCAGAGACUGGGGUGAAGUCGUAACAAGGUAGCCGUAGGGGAACCUGCGGCUGGAUCACCUCCUUUCAAGG